rnacentral:rRNA from 1 species
UAGGGAAUAUUGGACAAUGGGGGCAACCCUGAUCCAGCCAUGCCGCGUGAGUGAAGAAGGCCCUCGGGUUGUAAAGCUCUUUUGUCCGGAAAGAAAAGCAUUCGGUGAAUACCCGGAUGUUCUGACGGUACCGGAAGAAUAAGCACCGGCUAACUUCGUGCCAGCAGCCGCGGUAAUACGAAGGGUGCAAGCGUUACUCGGAAUUACUGGGCGUAAAGCGUGCGUAGGUGGUUGUUUAAGUCUGAUGUGAAAGCCCUGGGCUCAACCUGGGAAUGGCAUUGGAAACUGGGCAGCUAGAGUGCGGUAGAGGGGAGUGGAAUUCCCGGUGUAGCAGUGACAUGCGUAGAGAUCGGGAGGAACAUCUGUGGCGAAGGCGACUGCCUGGACCAGCACUGACACUGAGGCACGAAAGCGUGGG